rnacentral:rRNA from 1 species
AGAGUUUGAUCCUGGCUCAGAGCGAACGCUGGCGGCGUGCUUAACACAUGCAAGUCGAGUGCGCGUGCCGUAGCAAUACGGUAUGGCGCACGGCGCACGGGUGCGUAACACGUGGGUAAUCUGCCCUUCGAUGGGGAAUAACCCCGGGAAACCGGAGCUAAUUCCGCAUAACAUUCCGGGGACUGUGGUCUUUGGAUUCA